rnacentral:lncRNA from 1 species
GAUGGCAGGUCAUGAAUAAAUCAUCAAACCUCAACAUCAGUUAUAUGAUAGAUUCGAUUAGCUCAAGUCCACUUGUGACUUCUAUGAAAACUUCUUUCCAUCAAUCAUACUACUAUGGUCAUAGAUUUCUGGACUUAGCCUUUCGAAUCUCAUAGGACUACUCCUCUCUAUCAAAGUCGAUAGAUCCUACUUGAUGCGCACCCCACUCUUACAGUGGAUC